rnacentral:rRNA from 1 species
CGGGACGGGUGAGUAACGCGUGGGUAACCUGCCUCACACAGGGGGAUAGCAGUUGGAAACGGCUGAUAAUACCGCAUAAGCGCACAGUACCGCAUGGUACAGUGUGAAAAACUCCGGUGGUGUGAGAUGGACCCGCGUCUGAUUAGCUUGUUGGCAGGGUAACGGCCUACCAAGGCAACGAUCAGUAGCCGACCUGAGAGGGUGACCGGCCACAUUGGGACUGAGACACGGCCCAA